CUGGUGCACGUGUGCCAAGGACAGGGCUCGUGGAAUAGCACGUCUGCGCGAGUCUACCUAUUUAAAAGACGAAAUAACAACACGCGAGCUUCAUAAAGGCACGCGAGCCAGAAACCGCUGGUUUUAAUUUGGCGGCACCGUAACGCGCCCCCAACGCUACCGGAAUCGGGAAGUUCCGUUACGCGGUAGAAUGCACGGGAAAGUAAAAGCUUCCGAGCGCUUGCUGGAUGCGACUCUGCGAAUGCGACGACGAGAGGCGGAAUUAACGCGCAAUUAACGUGUGUGGGCAUCUGCAGUUCCCACAUAACGGAGAACGCUCUCUUUUGCGUCCAGACGUGAGUCGCUCCUAAAUGACAAAAAGAAAACAAAGAUGUGUUUCUGUUCAAAGCGAAGGAGGGAAUGCAAGUCCUGCACAGGGAGGAGGAACGCGUCCACUGUCCGGAGUAACUUGAACCAGUUUGACUGAUGACCUUUGGGGCUCCUAGCAACACAGCCCACCUGCUUCACCAGAAUCUCCAACGCUCAGCCAAAGAUGCAGUGAGUAAGACUUACCGAUGGGGUGAAACUCCAGAUUCACCAGAUUCACAGGACGUCCCGACGGAUUGGUGUGAGCCUUACUGCAGCCUCCACUCAUGCAGACCUGUUCCAGUUUGUGCCAGUCCUGAAGCAGCUCCUAUGUUUAAUAAUCUCCUAUGUUUAAUAAUCUCCUAUGUUUAAUAAUCUCCUGUUUAUUAAUCUCCUAUGUUUAAUAAUCUCCUAUGUUUUAUAAUCUCCUAUGUUUUAUAAUCUCCUAUGUUUUAUAAUCUCUUAUGUUUAAUAAUCUCCUAUGUUUAAUAAUCUCCUAUGUUUUAUAAUCUCCUAUGUUUAAUGUCAUGGAACGCUCGCCUCCCGCGAGUCACGUGGUUUGGCCUGCCACGUGUAGUGGGAGGAUCUGU